CGGGGUAGAGUAACGCGUGAGGAACCUGCCUCAAAGAGGGGGACAACAGUUGGAAACGGCUGCUAAUACCGCAUAAGCCCACGGCUCGGCAUCGAGCAGAGGGAAAAGGAGCAAUCCGCUUUGAGAUGGCCUCGCGUCCGAUUAGCUAGUUGGUGAGGUAAUGGCCCACCAAGGCAACGAUCGGUAGCCGGACUGAGAGGUUGAACGGCCACAUCGGGACUGAGACACGGCCCAG
rnacentral:rRNA from 1 species